rnacentral:rRNA from 1 species
AACGAACGCUGGCGGCAGGCCUAACACAUGCAAGUCGAGCGAAGCCUUCGGGCUUAGCGGCGGACGGGUGAGUAACGCGUGGGAACGUGCCCUUUGGUACGGAAUAGCCCCGGGAAACUGGGAGUAAUACCGUAUGUGGUCGAGAGACGAAAGAUUUAUCGCCAAAGGAUCGGCCCGCGUUGGAUUAGGUAGUUGGUGGGGGAAUGGCCUACCAAGCCGACGAUCCAUAGCUGGUUUGAGAGGAUGAUCAGCCACACUGGGACUGAGACACGGCCCAGACUCCUACGGGAGGCAGCAGUGGGGAAUCUUAGACAAUGGGGGAAACCCUGAUCUAGCCAUGCCGCGUGAUCGAUGAAGGCCUUAAGGUUGUAAAGAUCUUUCAGUGGGGAAGAUAAUGACUGUACCCACAGAAGAAGCCCCGGCUAACUCCGUGCCAGCCGCCGCAGUAAGAC